CCAGCCCGGAAGCCGCGGCUGCCUUGGGGUCCUCUGGGCGGGGGUCGGCCGCAACCACGGUGGGGGCGGCUUUGUUGGCGGCGGGCGGCUCGGGAGCAACCUUGAGCGCGGGCGCGGAGACAGUGAUUUAGGUGCUGGCAUUGGAGCGUGAAGACAGCAAGAUAAGGCGGCUCAAAAGAUACCUCACUCCUAAGAUGCAUGAGCAGAGCCAUGGUGUCCACAUCUCUUGAGGAAGAGAAUGGCCUGGCAGUAGGGACCUCACACAGAGCCUUGGGUCUAUUCGGAGCUUCUCACGUAAGGAGGGACAUUGGUGAGUAGGAGCUGGCCAGAUGAGGAGACAAGAGAGAGAGAUUUGACACAGAGAAGCAUGGAGAAGAAGCCAUAUGAAGAUACAGGCAGGGGUUGGAGUGAUGCCCACACUAGCCAAGAAACACUGGGGUUGCCAGCAGAAGCUAGGAGCGAGGCCGGGAAUGGAUUCUCCUUCAGGGAUUCCAGAGGGAGCCAGCCCUGCCCACACCUUGAUUUUAGACUUCUGGACUCUCAAACUGUAUUGAGAUGGGGUCUGGAUGGAGCACAGCAUCCUAUUGAACAUCACAGCCUGGCACCUGGCACAGGCUCCAGCCCCCAGUGCUCUCAACACCCAACAUGUGGAGGAAGGAAGAACAGCAUGACCCUGAGGUCCAGAGGGCCAGGAUCUGCCAAGGGACUGGGGGUGCUGUGGAGAACUGCGGCUAAUAACAGUGAAACUUAGCAGCGUUGUGUGAGUGCUCAUCACAGGUGGGCGUUUUGCGCUGGGCUUUCCCCAAGGUUUUCCAUAGCUCCUUAAAGCAAUCCUGUGAAUUAGGGCUUGACACCCCAAUUCCACUGAUGAGGAAAGGAAGGGGUUGCAGGGGCUUGUCUCCCAGGGUCAAGGCUUCCAUGGAGGAAGUAGGGGUCACCAUGUGCUGUCCGCUUGGCGGAUGGGGCAGGGAAGGGGUGCAGUCUUGGGGAGGGUGAGAGAUGGUGUGCAAGGAACUGAAACUGGUCACAUUUGUUUAAGGGGAAAGGAAAGAAGGAGGGAGAGAGGGAUGGAAGAGGUAAGGAUAAAAGAAAGCGGCGUGGGGGAUUUAGGGGAGGACUCGGGGCUCUCUGCCAAUAGGAAUCUUAUUCCAGCUCCCGUCCCUGUGCUCCUGCCCUAUCAGCUGCAGAUGCCGGUUCUCAGCACCCCAAUGUGGGGGCAUUCUAAGGAACACAAGGCUGGGGACGUGAUACUUGACUGGACAAUAUCCAGGGCUCUGCUGCUGGCCGCAGGGGUGACCUCCAUGAGGGACUGCCCCACUCAGGCCCUUCUCCUCUCCUCUGCCAUGUGAGGGCGUGGACUCUGGGGCUGAGCAGGGACUGAGACCUGUCCCCCAUCUCUAAUAAUGACAGUGGCACUGCUUCCUGAGCGGAGAGGCCAACACAGAGCCGGCUGCCCCGACUGUAAUCCCCACACCACCACCUUGUCGCUCUGGGGCCUGAAUGAGUUCUUCCUGUCUCCGGACCUGCAUUUCCCAUCUGUGAGGUCAGGACAGCUCUGCCACCCUCACAGACUUUGUGAAGAGUAACGGAGCUCAGGUACCAGUGGGGAGCUGGGGCCCCAGAAAAUAGGCAGUGUUUGCCAGUGGCAUUGUGGUUCCUUUUUAUUUUUUUGAGACAGGGUGUCAUUCUGUCACCCUGGCUAGAGUACAGUCAUACAGCUCACAGAGACCUCGAACUCCUGGGUUCAAGCCAUCCUCCUUCCUUGGCCUCCCAGACCUCUAGGACUACAGCCCCCUGAGAGGACACGCAGCUGCACACACCAAACCUUGGUGCACGGCGAGCUCUGAGGUGCCAGCAGCCGUCCAAUCCCAGACCUCACCUCACCACAACCCAGCACGGUCUUCCAAGGACAGAGCCUGCUCCAAGUUCAGUAGGAGGAAGAAAGAAGCAUUUAUUGGGCACCUGCUGUGUUCCUGUGAUGAAAUUUAAUCUUUACAACUGGCAUAGGUGGUUGGUCUAACUAUUCUCGAUGUAGAGAUGAGGAAACUGAGGCUUGGCAACAUACUUAAUGGCUGAGCAAGGCUUCCCAUGCUGGUGUGUUUGACACUUGACCCCAGAGCCAGAGCCUUUCCAGAAUGGAGCUACUGUGGUGUGACAGGCAGUGUAUCGGUGGGAGUGUGUGUAUGAGAGAGAGACGUUUGCCUCUCUCCUCCCACUGAACCAAGAGCAGGCUGUGUGUGUGUGUGUGUGUGAGAGAGAGAGAGAGAGAGAGCAAGAGAGAAGAAAGGAUGUGUGAGUGUGUGGGGGUGUGUGUGAGAGACGGAGGGUGUUGGAGACAGCCUGUGCGUGUCUGUGUGUGUGUGUAGUGUUGGCCCAGGGAUGGGGGGCUCCUGGACUCUCUACACCAGGGAGCUUAUCUCUGGGGGUGGGGGUGAGCUAGAAGUCACCUGGGAAGGCUGAGAGCUGGAGGGCAAGCAGCCCAUUAAUGCCUCCCUCCUAGGGGGUGCAGAUAAGUGGCCCCAGGGGGCUGUGCUGAGGACCCUCUAACUAGCUUGUUGCCAUGGGGAUUCUAGCUGUGAAUACAGGCCUAGAAGUCCAGCUGGAGCCUCCCCUUCCUGGCAGGUGGAGACCCCCAGCUGGGGCACGUUUGUCUGGGAAAGGAACUGAAGAGCCAUCCCAUCCACGACACUCUCCAUUAUUUAAAGCAAAGACCUCCAUUCCUCCCAUUAGCCCCCAGGAGGGCUCUCCAGGGUCAAGGGAGAAAAUGUCUGUCUUCAUGGUCCAACACUGGGAACCGUAGGUCUCCUUGCUGCCAGGUGAUCAGGGAAGGAAGGAAAGUACAUGUGUCCCACAGCCACCCCUGCAUUCCGGAAAACACAGCCGACACUGCCUAGAGAUUAGACCCUUGCUGGCACUGGGGACCCUUUGGGGUAUGAGACUUGUCCCCACGCAGUGGCCAGCUUCUGUGAGAACCAGCAACGCUCCUAUGGAGGGGUCUAUCCAGAGUCAGAACGCCUGAGGGUUCUUGGUGAUGUUUUAUUAUGAAAACAUUAAAACUAGAGAGAGCAUUUGGUGAGCCCUAAGUACCUAUCACUGAGUUGCAACAAUUAUCAGCUUUGUCCAUCUUGUUUCAUCCGUCCCUUCUUCUUUCUUUUAGUUGAGAACAAAUCCCAAAUAUCAGGUCAUUUCAUCUGGAAAUACUUGAGUAGCUACCAACCCAGGAGGCCAUGAUCACACCCAAGGAAAUUAACAAUGAAGCCAGGGAUAAGCAUCAGCUGGUAGGCAGUGCAUCUUAAACCACCAUCCCACCCCACCCCGUUAAAUAUGCAAACCCAAGAGUGGAUGGAGCCUGGGGCAGGGGAGGCUUUGCUGCUGUAGCUUUGGAGCCCUAGGAGAGUGAUGGUUGAAUGCCUGUGGAUUUGGGUGGAUUACAUUGCUUUAUGGGGACUCGACUUCCUCCUAUGCCAAAUGUACUUACCUUUUCCAAGGCUCUCGGGAGGAUCAAAUGAGACUGCAGAAGUAUAGCACUGGGUAGCUGGCAGGGGCUCAGUAGAUGGUGGCAAUGAUUAUGAUGUUUUUUAUUUUGUAUGUGAGAAAACUGAAGUUCAGAGAGUGACUUAAACUCACACAGCUCAGCGUAGGCAAGUAGAGAUGGAAGUGCAGGUCUUCUAGGUGCCCUUGGCUGUGUAUUCCACACAGCCCCUCUUCCCUGCUCUAAUCCUGCCCUAGUCUAUCACCACCCCACACCACCAUGGACUUGACACAGAGGGUAACAUCAGUAGGUUCCUUUCUACUAGAUCACCAGGGGGUCAGUCACAGUGCUUUGGGUUGGGCUGGUGAGAGGAUGGACAUCACUGGGCCAAAGAAAGGGUCUUUACUCUCUCUGGGCCUCAGUUUCCCCAUCUGUACUGGUCAAGGGCAUUGACCUCUACAUGGUCUUCAAGACUUCUUCCAGUUCUAUCUUGUUGCACCAGGGUUAGUACCCUGGGAAUGGGGGACAAGGAGGUACUUUAGAUCAAAAGGGAGCGUCACAGCAGCUCAAGACCCCAGGCUGCAGGACAACAUAGCAGCGAGAGUGACUGUCCUCUGCUAGAGGACAGAGAUGGGGUGGCCUAGCUCAGUAGAACUAAGGGUCCCCACCCCACUCGAUUGUAGGCUCCUGAAAUUGGGAGCCUACAUUAUACGUUAUACAUUAUAAACACCACGUUGGUGAGAGAAAUUGGGAGCCUACAUUAUACAUUGUACAUUAUAAACACCAUGUUGGUGAGAGAAAAAAAAAAUUCCACCGAUGUAACAGAUGGAACACUAGAUAGAAGAUCAGCAAGGAAACAGAAGACUUGAAAAACACUAUAAACCAAAUAGACUUAACAGACACUAUUUUCUAAUGGUGAUCUAAUAGAAUGUUCCACCUCAGAACAGCAAAGUACACAUUCUUCUCAGGUGCACAGGGAAUAUUCUCUAGGGUGGAUCAGAUCUUAGGCCACAAAUCACAUAUCCAUAAGUUUAAGAUUGAAAUCACACAAAGUAUGUUCUCUGAUGACUGUGGAAUGAAAUUAGAAAUCAAGAGCAGAAGGAAAUUUGGAGAAUUCACAAAUAUGUAAUUAUUAAACCACAUGAUCCCUAAAUAACCAAUAGGUUAAAAAAUAAGUCACGAGGAACAUUAGAAAAUACUUUGAGAUGAAUGAAAACAAAAACACUUACCUGGGUGUGGUGUGCAAGCCUGUAGGUCCAACCAUUUGGGAGGCUGAGGCAGGAGAAUCACUUGAGCAUAGGAGUUUGAGGCUGCAGUGAGCUAUGAUCACAUUGCUGCAUUCCAACCUGGGCAACAGGGAACAAGCUUGUUUCAAAAGAGUGGUGGGGGGUUAGAAAAGAAAGAAAGAAGCAGGAAGGAAGUAAGGAAAGAAGGAAGGGAGGAAGAGAGGGAGGGAAAGGGAAAGGGAAUGGGCAUAAAGAAAGGAAAAGAAACCACAACAUACUAAUAAACUUACAGGAUGCAGCAAAAGCAGUGUUCAGAGGGAAAUUUAUAGCUGUAAGAAUCUACAUUACAAUAGAAGAUCCCAGCUGGGCGUCAGUAGCUGAGUGAGUAGGGCUCCAGCCAUAUAUACGGAGGCUGGAGGGUUCAAGCCAGGCCUGCUAAACAACAAUGACAGCUGCAACAAAAAAAUAGCCAGGCAUUGUGGUGGGUGCCUGUAGUCCCAGCUACUUGGGAGGCUGAGGCAAGAGAAUCACUUAAGCCCAAGAGUUUGAGGUUGCUGUGAGCUAUGACGCGACAGCACUCUAUGGAGGGUGACAAAGUGAGACCCUGUCUCAAUAAAAAAAAAAAAAAAAGAAGAUCCCAAAUCAAGAAUUUAACCUCCCACCUUACUAGCAAAAGAAGAGCAAACCAAAUCCAAAGCAAGCAAACAAUAAAAGAUUGGAGCAAGGAUAAAUAAAAUGGAGAAUAGAAGAACAGAGAAAAUCAGUAAAACCAAAAAUUGAUUCUCUGAAAAGAGCCAAGGCUGGAGGAUCACUUGAGGCCAGGAAUUGCAGACCAGCCUGGGCAACAUAAUGAGAUAUUGUUUCUCAAAAAAAAAGAAAAUUGUCUGCUUUUGGUGGUGCACAUUUGUAGUCUCAGCAACUAGGGAGGCUAAGGUAGGAGAACCUCAUGAGCCCAGGAGUUUAAUGUUGCAGUGACCUAUGAUGAUGCCACUGCACUCUAGCCCAGGUGACAGAGUAAGACCCUGUCUCGAAAAAAAAAAAAAAAAAGUCAGGAAUGGAAGUGGAGACCUUAUUACUGACCUUACAGAAAUAAAAGAGAUGAUAAAAUGUUGCUGUACAAACAUUUUACAGAAGCUCCACAACUCUUCUAGAGACUGGAAAGAACGACCAGAAACAAUUACCCGUAAUUGUCUUCAGGGAAAUAGGGCUGGGAGGGUGGAGCUGGAGUUUCUACUUUUCAUUAUAAGCCUUUAAGGGCUAUUUUCUGCAAAUGCAUUUACUAUAAAAUAUCACACAUGUUCAGAAAAGUGAAUUUUUAAAAAGCACAGCUCCAUAAUUCAGCACCAAGCGAGUACCCAUGAAACCACCACCUGAUCAAGAAGAGUUGCCAGCUUCCGGAAGCCUCUCCCAUACUCUCAUCCAAUCCUCUGGCCCAAAGCCAACCAUCAUCCUGACUUUUAUGGCUCCUACUUUGCUUUCUUUGAUAGUGUUGCCAUCUCUAAACACAAUAGUUUAUUUCUGUUCAUGCUCUGGACUUUAUAUAAAUCCAAUCGGGUCCUCUUUUGCAGUUGGCUUGUGUUUCACGUUAUGUUUGUGAGAUUCUCCUUUGUUGCAUGCAGCAAAAAUUGGCUUAUUUUCUUUGCUGUAUUGUAUUCCAUUUUAUAAGGGCACCAGGCUUUAUGUGUCCAUUCAACUGCUGAUGGAAUGGACUUUUAAAAACACCCAUGUCCAUAAAGAGAAAUUGAUAAACAUAUUUUCAAUGAAAUGCAAAUUAAAAAUGGAACUCAACACGUGUUUGUUUAAUUUCAUUCCUAGGAUGCUCGCUUUCUUUUUCUGGAUCCUAAGAGAAAAUAGGCCAGUUAGACAGGAGCCCAGUAGGAGAAGUCUGAGAGAUAUCCAUACCCCUAUGGGGUUCUCUUAUCAGCCCUCCUUCCCAAAUUUUCAGUCUCAGAUGGGAGGAGGGCACAUAGAUGGAGCAAAACCACUCUUCCUUUCCCCCCAAGGUUUACAGCCUCCCUACAUGUGUGGAGUGCACACAGGGGCACACACAUGAGCAGAGGUGUAUGUCCCAGAGGUGGCCAUGCCUGUAGGCACCUGACCAGCAGGCACGGUCUAUGCAGGGAGAAGUUGGUGGAAAAAGAGGGGAAGGAGGGGGGGAAAAUCCCCUCAUUUCUGAAGAAAUGUCCCAGAUUAGAUUUGUAAA